rnacentral:misc_RNA from 1 species
GAUGAAGAACGUAGCGAAAUGCGACAAGUAAUGUGAAUUGCAGAAUUCAGUGAAUCAUCGAAUCUUUGAACGCACCUUGCACCCUUUGGCAUUCUGAAGGGUAUGCUCGUUUGAGUGUCAUUGUACUCUCACACUCCCGAUCUUUGCAUUGGGAGCAGUGGACUUGGGUUUGCUGCUUCACCGUCGCUUACCUCAAAUAGGUUAGUGCAACUCUUGGUUGGACAUAGUACGGCGUGAUAAGUGUUCUUCGCCGGUGCCUCGCAAAGAGGGUGGCCGAUCGGGAUGUUGUGCUCCAAACCGUCUUCGGACAAUCUCUGACGACUUGACCUCAAAUGGAGUAAGACUACCCGCUGAACUUAAGCAUAUCAAUAAGCGGAGGA